CAGGUAGGGAUACCCGCUGA
rnacentral:rRNA from 1 species